CGGUGUUGUUGGAUGCGGCACAGAUGUUUUGGUGUGGUCGACCCCCAAAGGAUUUCCACAUGGCCUGGUUAGGGCUACCCAUAUCGGUGGUGACAGCAAGCACAUGUAGCCCUAUGGAUGCUGCUCUCUCUUUUAAUUCUGUAAUUAUUGGCUUGUAUUCUGCUCCGUUGGUAGAAUUGCCACUGUAAUGAUAUGCCACUACUUGUUUCCAGCGAGUUGUGUUUCCAGCCAACAUAAACACACAAGCAUGUGUUGCUACUCCUGUGUGACCUGGCAAAGUGACAUCACCAUAUAGUUUGCCUGUCAGCAUGUGCAGCUCAACACUUGGAGUGAUUGCCAUUUCAUCCAAGGACAGCACACACUCCCUUUCAAGGGUUCUGAUCGCUGGCAAGGGAAUCUGCAAUUCCUGUAGGGUCUUGUAACCAGUUGGACCGGAUGCAAAGCGAAUUUUUAAUGCCUUCUUAAUUGUUUCAUUGCUCCAUUUCAUACCUUUUGUGACCCAGGUAACUGGCUGAUGGCUCACUGGAAUGCUGACUGGCUGCUGACUGACUUGCUGCAUGCUGACUGGCGGGGAAGCCAUACAUUCGCACACCUUUCUCUGACAGAGUGGAGCAUCCCCAUGCAGCACAGCAAACCAUGUUGGAGACUAUGCAAGAGCAACAUGAAAGAAAGGACACAUACAAAAUGCUUGGCAUGCUAUUCAAUUUAUUAGGAAUGUAUUCAUGAAUUCCUUUAAAUAGUUAAUUGCAUUUAUUUGAAUAAAAAUACAAAGAAAAAGUAAUCUCACAAUAUAUAAUUACAAUUACAUCAUUACUUUUGAAUGGCAGUGUACAUGUUUAUAUAUGAGUAUGCUUAAGUUGUUUUAAACCUGAAUAUAUUGUGUAUACAAAUAAGUAUUGUAAGAAUUAUACAUUAGAUAAAUAAUAUCUAUAAUACACAAUUAUAUUACUAUAUGUAAUUGUAUGAAUUGUAAACAAUAAGCUUCAUUUUACAUUUACUUAACAUGCUAAUUACUGCUGCUUAUAGUUAAUUGACCCCUUGUGCGGUGCGAGCUGAAAAUCAUCUGUCGCCAGCCUGUCUGUACUAUCUGGAAGUCAUAAAGUCAUCAAUAUGACAUUAGUUAACAUGAGAUCAGUGAAAAAAAGAAUAAUGUGUAACAUAAAAAGGCAACAGCAACCCGUGUUUUUACAACUUAACGUUAGCCUGAAAUGAGUUUUUAAAAUAACGGCAAAUAACGGUAACUAAUCCUCAGAAAUGACCUGAUUUUAUAUUUUAAAAACAUCGUUGUAAGUACAUAAUCAUGCUACAUACAUAUGUCGGUGUGUUUUGUAUAAAUAUAUAGAAUAAAAUGCAUUUAUUGACUCCUAAUUACCAGAAAUCGCAGUUCUGUCACUCUUCUCUAUCAGUUUGAAUGGCCGCAAACGAACUUCCUGGAACUAUUUGAAGUCUACAUGAAUCACGUGACAACCAGACAUUUCGAACUUCCGUUGUCGCAACUCUCUCUCUAUAUGGCUCUGAUAUCAUCAACCUCGUAAUGACCAGAAAAAUCACUCUGAGAAAGACAAACACUUGAAUCAGAUGAUGUACUAUCACUUUCCGUAUCUUCAUACAACUCACUUUUAUCUGAUUUUUUUGCGUGUCUAUCAAUCCCAGUUCUACCAGGCUUCCUCCUCUUUAACGGGACUUUAAAAUCUGCCUGCACUGUUUCCAUUGGAAUGACGUCACCUACGCGCUCCACAGCAGGCUGCAGCUCAACAUCGAUAGCAUCGUUUAAAUGCUUCUCCGUCUCAAUAACGGCUCCCCCCUCCUGAACAUUAGACACAACUAAUGUAACAUCAGUAACUGUGCUUUCAGGCGCAGGUUCUUCAGUUACAGCGAUCGCAGGAACACCAUCACUUCUAUCCUCUGAGAUGUGUAACCCUGUCGCUGACUCACCCGGAGUCUCGUCAACCGGCUCCGUUUCAGCACUAACGACAUCGCUUCUGACGUCACCACCACCUGACACAUUGGUUGAAUUUUUCCCGGGACAAUCACGAAUUAAAUGAUUAGUUUGUCCACAACUAAAACAUCUCAUGUUUCCCGAUGUCACGUAAAUGAUGUAAUCAUAGUCAUCCGCCCGAAAGUGCAAAAGACAGAUCCAUAUCAGCAUCAUCAUUCACUACCAUGUAGACAAACCGCCUAAAUGAAACGACAUGCUUCAAUAAAGGCGAUCCACCACCGAUAGGGAUCUUUUUAAUGGGAGAGACAAGUUUUCCAUAGCAAGACAAAGCCUUACCUAGUAUCUCAUCACUUAAAAACGGCGGUACAUUAGAUAGCGUGACUUUCUUUGAAGGUGUUGACAGCGGAAGUACAGCAUUAAACAGAUCGUCAAUAACUAUUCCUGCCUCAACUAAUUCAUUAGCCUUUUCAACAGUACUGAGAAAUACCACAGUGGCAUUAUUCAUCCUGGAGGCAGACAUAAUGUUUUCAUGCCCAACUACCUCUCCUACUGCAAGACAGCACUUCUCUACACUAACCGCGGACGCCACUUUCACGCCAUGACGCCGGGUCAAUGAACCCAAACAACACCGUGCGUGUGGGGCCGUCAUGCUCCCGGUAAGGUGGCACGCGGCCCAAAACAACUACAAAAAAAAACCCAAAUCGCACAAAAAAAAAAAAACAAUCAAACGAAAGACCAGAAAAAAAAGCCAGAAAGAAAGAAGAUUAGAUUUACUCAGACUCACCGAAGAGCUCUCACCCACACGCUCUGCACACUCACGCUCGCACCGGAAGUGAAAGUGAAAGUGAAAGAGAGAGAGAGAGAGAGAGAGCAAGACAGCGCUCGUGUAGUUUGAAGACUGUGAGUGUGCGAGCGCGCGUGAAACUUUGGUGUUUCGCCCUUUUUCUAUCGUGUUUAAUGAUUUUGAUUAAUAUGCACAAGGGAGAGAGAGAGCAAGAAGCGCUCGUGUUGUUUGAAGACUGUGAGUGUGCGCGCGCAGCCGGGCUCUCUCGUACGCGCCCUGUCAGCGCAAAUAAGGCUUUGACAGCCG
ensembl:lncRNA